rnacentral:snRNA from 1 species
AUCGCUUCUCGGUCUUUUGGCUAAGAUCAAAGUGUAGUAUCUGUUUUUAUCAGCUUAAUCUCUGGUACGGCCUCCAUAAGGGACCCAGAAGAUUAAACUGAUUUUUGGAAAAUGACUGAGUGCUAGGGGCUUGCUCCACCUCUGUCGCGGGUUGACCCGGUAUUGCAGUACCUCCGGGAACGGCUCACAUUUU